GUGACCUCAAAUCAGGUAGGACUACCCGCUGAACUUAAGCAUAUCAAUAAGCGGAGGAAAAGAAACUAACAAGGAUUCCCCUAGUAACUGCGAGUGAAGCGGGAAAAGCUCAAAUUUAAAAUCUGGCGGUCUUUUGGCCGUCCGAGUUGUAAUCUAGAGAAGUGUUAUCCGCGCUGGACCGUGUACAAGUCUCCUGGAAUGGAGCAUCAUAGAGGGUGAGAAUCCCGUCUUUGACAUGGACUGCCAGGGCUUUUGUGAUGCGCUCUCAAAGAGUCGAGUUGUUUGGGAAUGCAGCUCAAAAUGGGUGGUAAAUUCCAUCUAAAGCUAAAUAUUGGCGAGAGACCGAUAGCGAACAAGUACCGUGAGGGAAAGAUGAAAAGAACUUUGGAAAGAGAGUUAAACAGUACGUGAAAUUGCUGAAAGGGAAACGCUUGAAGUCAGUCGCGUCGUCCAGGGAUCAACCUUGCUUUUGCUUGGUGCACUUUCUGGUCUGACGGGUCAGCAUCAAUUUUGAUCAUAUAUUGGAAAAAGAUUGAGGGAAUGUGGCAUCCUCGGAUGUGUUUAUAGCCCUUGGUCAAAUACAAUGGUUGGGAUUGAGGAACUCAGCACGCCGCAAGGCCGGGUGUUUACACCACGUACGUGCUUAGGAUGCUGGCAAUAUGGCUUUAAUCGACC
rnacentral:rRNA from 1 species